UGUAACUAUUAAGCUUCUCAUCCACAGAAAGGUUACAAAGAGGUUGGGAUUUGGAGAUUAGCGACUAUUUUGGAGACUGUAGUCUUGGGUUGUGAAUCCUAGUCCCCAAGGGAGGAGUCCUGGGGAUCCUUACUACACAUUGUGACAAAGAAAGAUGUUUCAAGAUGGUUGCCGAGAGAGUUUGAUACAUGGCCAUACAGUCCAUCUAGAAAACCUAAAGUCCUUCACUAAGUUCAUGGGGCUAGUACUCAGAAGACUAGAGGCAUGGCAGGAGAACUGAGAGAAUUCACCUCUGAGUAUCUGCAAGGAGGAAUGAGGAGCAGCAGAAAAGUUUCAGGUGUGCAAUAUAGAGAUUCAGCAAUUCUACA